rnacentral:rRNA from 1 species
UGGAUUCGCUAGUAAUCGCGCAUCAGCCAUGGCGCGGUGAAUACGUUCCCGGGCCUUGUACACACCGCCCGUCAAGCCAUGAAAGCCGGGGGUACCUGAAGUACGUAACCGCAAGGAUCGUCCUAGGGUAAAACUGGUAAUUGGGGCUAAGUCGUAACAAGGUACC